GUCAGGGCUAGUGGCACUGCAUGCCAAAGCAAUGAGGCUGAUUUCCUAGAAUAAAUUGUGAUUUCGUUUAAAUAGUUGAACGCUCUACAACAAUCGCAAUCAAACAAAUUCCAAAAAACAUUCUGUUUACAUGCUGAUAAUGGAGGCUGUCAAAUGUCCAAAAGCCACAAGACCUGGCAUCUAGAAGAGCAAACAAGAUUGCGACUGACGCACAGCAUCACCAACUCAAUCGAAUGGAGCUGAAGUCGCAGUCGGAGCUGAGGUUACUGCAGCUUCUUCUGCUGGCUGCCACCUGAGAACCUGGCAACAAGCGAAUGGCUUGCUAUAAUUUUUA